GUUGGGAUGAGGAGAGAGAGAAUCUAAAUGGGGGAAACAAGAAAAGGGUUGGGAUCUCAUUUGAGGACACCUCCAUUGUACAAGUGCUAUCGGACUUUUGGAAAUUGUAACUGUCAAGAAAACUCAAGAAUGGGGUGGAAAUGUGUCAAAACAUGGAAAAUGCAUUACAAGCUAAAGAAGGGAUGGAACAUACCUAUUUCCAAAUGGUUAAGGAUGAAUGAAAAGAUGGAAAACUAUACAAUCUGGAUCAACGAUUUACCUGAAUAUUCGUAUAGCUGCUUUGCAAGUGAAUAAUUCUCAAGACUUUUCUUGGUUCCUUGAUACAAGGUCAACAUCUCAUAUCACUCAUACACCAGCUAUUCUACUCUCUUUAAUUCCUUACCAAGGGAUCAGACACAAUGAUGGUGGUUAAUGAGGCUCAACUUCCUAUUACUCAUGUUGGUGAAUGUAGUAUAUGAAUGGGACUGUUUUCCUACCCCUGAAGAAUGUUCUAUGGAUUCCUUCUAUUCAAAAGAAUUUACUAUCAGUAUCUCAACUUACAAGUGAUUCUCCCUACACUUUUGACUUUGACAAUAGUAUUGUCAUGAAGGAUCUUACUACACAAAAGAUUUUAGCAUUGGGGAGUAAGCAAGGAGGUCAAUAUGCGAUUACUACUCAAUCUGAAGAAUCGUAAAUACGGGUAUACUUCUCUUCCAGGUUCAAGUCUGCUACAGAGGAUGUGUAACACUAGAGACUUGGACAUCCUUAAGGGCAGGUUACCCAAUUUCUCAAGAAUAAUGAUUUGAUUGUUGUUUCUAAAAAUCAUGGACAUUUGUGCUCUAGUUGUCUACUUAGUAAGAGCACCAAGCUUCCUUUUAUCAGUUCUUUUACUCAUUGUAUUUCUCCUCUUGAAUGGGUUCAUUGUGAUUUGUGGGGGAAAGCUCCUACUCAAAAGUGUUCAGCAUUUUUAAAUACUAUGCUAUCUUUGUUGAUGAUUUCUCUCAUCACACAUGGUUCUAUCCACUAAAGCAUAAAUCAUAUUUUUUUUCAUCUUUUAUUCACUUUUCAAUCUAUGGUAGAACGUCAGUUAAACACUAAAAUUAAGGUGUUUCAAUCAGAUGGUGGGGGAGCAUUCUCUAAGAAAAAGUUCUUAACCCAUCUCAGUGUUUAUGGUAUUAUUCAUCA